UAGCGUAUAUUAAAGUUGUUGCAGUUAAAAAGCUCGUAGUUGGAUUUGUGGCGUACGGUGGGUUCCGGGCAUUUUUUGCCUGAGUAACUUGCUGUUGCCAUCCUUGGGUGGAACCUGUGUGGCAUUAGGUUGUCGUGCAGGGGAUGCCCAUCAUUUACUGUGAAAAAAUUAGAGUGUUCAAAGCAGGCUUAUGCCGUUGAAUAUAUUAGCAUGGAAUAAUGAGAUAGGACUUUUUUGCUAUUUUGUUGGUUUGCGCAAAGAGGUAAUGAUUAAUAGGGACAGUUGGGGGUAUUCGUAUUCCAUUGUC
rnacentral:rRNA from 1 species